CGAAAUGGUAAUUGAUACAAUUUAGAAUUUAGAAUGACAUAAAAAGGUAAGUAAAAAGUACAAAUAAAAAUGACUAAAUAAAAUGACAAAAUCUAUUAUAAAUUGAUAAAUGAAUAUAAAUAAAAUAAAAGAAUUUAAAAAUGAAAGAAUAAAUGCGUAGAAAAUAAAUGAUUAACAGAAACGGAGCCACCAAAAGUAGGAACAGGAGUAAAUCUAGACCAAACAAACAGCAAUGAGCGGCAGCAACGGGGUCCUGGUACAGCAGUUGCUAAGUAAAG
rnacentral:lncRNA from 1 species